rnacentral:tRNA from 1 species
AGGAGGAUGGUGAAAAGAUCACGGGUGUUUGUCGCUCGCCAGUUGUGCUUUAAGGCACUCCUCCUG